GCGACUAUUCUGUAAUUAGACAGCUAUUACAAAUUAUAAACUAUCAAUACAUUUCGUACAUUAUCGCUACGAUUUUAUUGCUACUUUCCAACAAUUCCAUCAAGCUGUAACUUUACAUAAAAUAAAAUCACAAAAAUGGAAUCCUUAAAACAAAUACCAAAUAGUGAAGAACAGAACUGUAAGGAAAACCAAAAAAACUUAGAUGAAUGGUUAGAAAGGAUUAAUAUGCUGUUAGAUACUAAGCAAAAGGAAUUUAAUGAAGGUAUAGCAAUGCAGAGCAGCUAUAUGCAUAACCAAGAACAAAUAAAGGACUCGGAAUAUUGUAUACUUCUUGUUGAUGAAGUAAUUCAGAAGCAAUAUUACAACAAGAAAUAUGGGUCUCUGUUGUAUCCGUAUCAGAAGCUUAUCCGAAUUAACCAUAAUUAUAGAAAUUAUUUCGGGUUGUGUGAAUAAUUUGCAUAGUUUUAUAUCAUAUUAGAAUAAACCUAUUUUUAAAUAUUAA